UACGGAGGGGGCUAGCGUUGCUCGGAAUUACUGGGCGUAAAGGGCUCGUAGGCGGUCUGAUAAGUCCUGUGUGAAAUCCCCUGGCUUAACCAGGGAACUGCGCCGGAUACUGUCGGACUAGAGGCCGGGAGAGGGAAGCGGAAUUCCCAGUGUAGCGGUGAAAUGCGUAGAUAUUGGGAGGAACACCGGUGGCGUAGGCGGCUUCCUGGACCGGUUCUGACGCUGAUGAGCGAAAGCUAGGGUAGCAAACAGG
rnacentral:rRNA from 1 species